rnacentral:rRNA from 1 species
UACGGAGGGGGCUAGCGUUGUUCGGAAUUACUGGGCGUAAAGCGCACGUAGGCGGCUUUGUAAGUUAGAGGUGAAAGCCCAGGGCUUAACCCUGGAAUUGCCUUUAAGACUGCAUCGCUAGAAUCGUGGAGAGGUAAGUGGAAUUCCGAGUGUAGAGGUGAAAUUCGUAGAUAUUCGGAAGAACACCAGUGGCGAAGGCGACUCACUGGACACAUAUUGACGCUGAGGUGCGAAAGCGUGGGGAGCAAACAGG